rnacentral:rRNA from 1 species
AGCGAACGCUGGCGGCAGGCCUAACACAUGCAAGUCGAACGAACUCUUCGGAGUUAGUAGCGGACGGGUGAGUAACACGUGGGAACGUGCCUUUUGGUUCGGAAUAACUCAGGGAAACUUGUGCUAAUACCGAAUGUGCCCUUCGGGGGAAAGAUUUAUCGCCAUUAGAGCGGCCCGCGUCUGAUUAGCUAGUUGGUGAGGUAACGGCUCACCAAGGCGACGAUCAGUAGCUGGUCUGAGAGGAUGACCAGCCACACUGGGACUGAGACACGGCCCAGACUCCUACGGGAGGCAGCAGUGGGGAAUCUUGCGCAAUGGGCGAAAGCCUGACGCAGCCAUGCCGCGUGAAUGAUGAAGGUCUUAGGAUUGUAAAAUUCUUUCACCGGGGACGAUAAUGACGGUACCCGGAGAAGAAGCCCCGGCUAACUUCGUG